rnacentral:sRNA from 1 species
GCUGGGCAUGUGCACGCCUGUAAUCCCAGCAGCUCAGGAGGCUGAGGCAGGAGAAUCAUGAGUUCAAAGCCAGCCUCGGCAAAAGUGAGGCACUAAGCAAUCCAGUGAGACCCUGUCUCUA